rnacentral:lncRNA from 1 species
GGCGAAUUUCUUAUGCACGGGGGAUUGUAUUACACCAGAAAACUUCUUUUCCAAAUUGUACUGUGUUUUAAACUUGCUGAUAACGAACUGCCUGGCAUCAGACUCCUCACGGUCGUGAUCCAGGUUGAUGACGCGUCAGUCUGAACGGUUUUCAUGCUCACUGCUUUGCGCAUGCUCACUUCUUUGCCGCUUACUUCCUUGCCUGCCCCGACCACCUGAAGGGUCUUCUACAGAUCCCUCCUCUGCAAAUAUGUUGCAUCUCCGCUGAAUGCCGGGGACUUCCAUUCCCGUUGCUACGGAUAAAGGGCAAGCAUGAUCACACUCCUCCUCAACACAGGACCUAUCAGCAGUCCAUGAGAAGGCAAAUCAGGAGUCUGCUGCUCUAGCUUUCCCGACCUCCAUGCUUCUCCCGGGAGAUGGGCGUGUUGUUUAGGAACAAGACUCCAACAUUGCUCUGUUUUAUUUGUGAUCCCUGGACACCCUCCACCCCCCAAUAAAAGAACUCAAGGUCUUACCGAGGCCACAGGAAGAGCAUCAGAGAACUGGAGGCAUCCUUGCAGAAGCCAUCUUUGAUGUCCAGGUCCCCUCGGAUCUGCCUUCCAUGUUCCGAGACUCAGUUUCCUUCUAUGGACCGCAGAGAGCUUGAUUGACACUUUCCUCGGGACAGAGGAAGCGAAGCGGUUGUGCACUGGAUGAAUGCUUAGCCUGGAGCCGGAGUCUACAUCCUCCCAGCUGCGCUCCUC